GCAACUUCCCCAAAAUUGGGUAAAGAGUGUUGUAGUAAACUCUGGGUGUGUGUUACACUUUGAACAAGAAGGAUAUCCCACUUCCCAUAUUAUCAUAGAAAAGCUUCUUCAUUUUCCCUGAGUGAGCAUCUUCUUUGACUCAUAAGCUGACCCGGCACGGCUUCGGCGGACCAAUAAGCGACCCACCGCCCGCUGUCGAGUUCUUCAAUCCAAUAUUGAUAUCUGGG
rnacentral:misc_RNA from 1 species